rnacentral:rRNA from 1 species
CUACGGGAGGCAGCAGUGGGGAAUAUUGCACAAUGGGCGCAAGCCUGAUGCAGCCAUGCCGCGUGUAUGAAGAAGGCCUUCGGGUUGUAAAGUACUUUCAGCGGGGAGGAAAGGAGUAAAGUUAAUACCUUUGCUCAUUGACGUUACCCGCAGAAGAAGCACCAGCUAACUCCGUGCCAGCAGCCGCGGUAAUACGGAGGGUGCAAGCGUUAAUCGGAAUUACUGGGCGCAAAGCGCACGCAGGCGGUUUGUUAAGUCAGAUGUGAAAUCCCCGGGCUCAACCUGGGAACUGCAUCUGAUACUGGCAAGCUUGAGUCUCGUAGAGGGGGGUAGAAUUCCAGGUGUAGCGGUGAAAUGCGUAGAGAUCUGGAGGAAUACCGGUGGCGAAGGCGGCCCCCUGGACGAAGACUGACGCUCAGGUGCGAAAGCGCGGGGAGCAAACAGGAUUAGAUACCCUGGUAGUCCACGCCAUAAACGAUGUCGACUUGGAGGUUGUGCCCUUGAGGCGUGGCUUCCGGAGCUAACGCGUUAAGUCGACCGCCUGGGGAGUACGGCCGCAAGGUUAAAACUCAAAGGAAUUGACGGGG